UGGGGAAUUUUGGACAAUGGGCGAAAGCCUGAUCCAGCAAUGCCGCGUGUGUGAAGAAGGCCUUCGGGUUGUAAAGCACUUUUGUCCGGAAAGAAAUCCUUGGCUCUAAUACAGUCGGGGGAUGACGGUACCGGAAGAAUAAGCACCGGCUAACUACGUGCCAGCAGCCGCGGUAAUACGUAGGGUGCAAGCGUUAAUCGGAAUUACUGGGCGUAAGCGUGCGCAGGCGGUUUGCUAAGACCGAUGUGAAAUCCCCGGGCUCAACCUGGGAACUGCAUUGGUGACUGGCAGGCUAGAGUAUGGCAGAGGGGGGUUAGAAUUCCACGUGUAGCAGUGAAAUGCGUAGAGAUGUGGAGGAAUACCGAUGGCGAAGGCAGCCCCCUGGGCCAAUACUGACGCUCAUGCACGAAAGCGUGGGGAGCAAACAGGAUUAGAUACCCGUGGUAGUCCACGCCCUAAACGAUGUCAACUAGUUGUUGGGGAAUUCAUUUCCUUAGUAACGUAGCUAACGCGUGAAGUUGACCGCCUGGGGAGUACGGUCGCAAGAUUAAAACUCAAGGAAUUGACGGGGUCAUAGCUGUUUCCU
rnacentral:rRNA from 1 species